AAAGCUCAAUUAAGAUAUCAUUGUAUGAGCUUGAUUAUAUAUUUGUUUUAAAAUUUUGUUUUCAAUUCUAUUUUUUCUUUGUUUUAUGUACUUUUUCAUUUCUUCAUUGUUUUCUUAUACUAUUAAAUAUAGAAUACAUAUGUAUAAUAUUUUCUUAUGUCUAUAAGAAAAUUACUUUAUCGAUGAGAUUCAAAAAUAUUGAUUUCCGACCAUCACACAUAAUAAAAUCAAGUAAAAAAAACAAUCUUCAUUCUUUUAUUUUAGAUGUUUG
rnacentral:lncRNA from 1 species